rnacentral:rRNA from 1 species
GUGGGGAAUUUUGGACAAUGGGCGCAAGCCUGAUCCAGCAAUGCCGCGUGCAGGAAGAAGGCCUUCGGGUUGUAAACUGCUUUUGUACGGAACGAAACGGCUCUGGUUAAUACCCGGGGCUAAUGACGGUACCGUAAGAAUAAGCACCGGCUAACUACGUGCCAGCAGCCGCGGUAAUACGUAGGGUGCAAGCGUUAAUCGGAAUUACUGGGCGUAAAGCGUGCGCAGGCGGUUUUGUAAGACAGGCGUGAAAUCCCCGGGCUCAACCUGGGAAUUGCGCUUGUGACUGCAAGGCUGGAGUGCGGCAGAGGGGGAUGGAAUUCCGCGUGUAGCAGUGAAAUGCGUAGAUAUGCGGAGGAACACCGAUGGCGAAGGCAAUCCCCUGGGCCUGCACUGACGCUCAUGCACGAAAGCGUGGGGAGCAAACAGGAUUAGAUACCCUUGUAGUCC